UACAGUCUGUCUAUAAAGUCGUGACAUGAAUGUUUGAGGAACUAACAUUAUUCAUGUGUCUGGCAACACCAAAGAUCACCAAACAUAUGUACAUCAGCUGUCAUCGAGAACAAGUUGUGGAACGAUUUUCAUUUCGUGGUUUUUAUUGUUUGACUAAUCUCCUGUAAAUUAUUACUCAGCUACGAAGAAAAGUAUAAACAAUGAGUAAAGUAAAUUGGAGUGCCACGCGGAAAGUGAUUUUUAAAGUUUUCCAGCAAUGUUCCGCGGAGUACCAAGCUGGUCAAAUUUUGUGGGAUUUUGAUGUUUUUUAUGGGCGAACAGCAUCUUUGACGGGAAAAUCAGAGAGUACGGUUAAGCGCAUAGUCAAUGAAGGUUUUCAGAAUAAUGGAAAAUUUAGAACUCCUGGGAAACACAGGCAAGGCCGACCAAAGAAAGAAAUGGAUAAUUUUAAUAUUUGUGCUCUGCGCCAAAAAAUAUAAUUUUUUACACGGUACAAAAAGAGGUA